UUUAUUUGUCAACACCCAAACUGUAUAUAGAGUGAAUAAUGUCAAUUAACACGAAGUCUUAAUUUAAUCUGCUUUUAAAAUGUUUCAUUGUUUGAAAACUAUUUGUUUAUAAGUACCUUUUUCUACUUUGAUUGGUCAAAUUGUUUCUAUGAUCAUGUUUUAAAAAGGUUACUUUUAAAACGAAGAGUAGAAAAAUAGAGAGAACCAUGUGACGCACCGGUUCGCCCCGCUCUCGAUCUACGAGCAGUGGCGGGUAAAUGUAUGUUGCCAUGAUUACUGUUUUGUGAAUAUGCUUUAUGAACUGUGAAUGUAUAUAUGUUGGAUGGAAAAAUAAAGUAUGUGAACGUUCAUGUAUCCAGUCUCGUAUAUUGAUUUAUAACAACUUUCCAGUAUGGACUCUCUGUCAUC
rnacentral:lncRNA from 1 species